AGUGAACGCUGGCGGCAGGCCUAACACAUGCAAGUCGAGCGGCAGCGCGGGGGCAACCCUGGCGGCGAGCGGCGGACGGGUGAGGAAUUCGUCGGAAUCUGCCUUUUUGUGGGGGAUAACGUAGGGAAACUUACGCUAAUACCGCAUACGUCCUACGGGAGAAAGUGGGGGACCGCAAGGCCUCACGCAGAAAGAUGAGCCGACGACCGAUUAGCUAGUUGGUGGGGUAAAGGCCCACCAAGGCGACGAUCGGUAGCUGGUCUGAGAGGAUGAUCAGCCACACGGGGACGGAGACACGCCCAAGCCUCCGCCGGGAGGCAGCGGGGGGGAUUAUUGAACAAGGGCCGCAAGCCUGACCCAGCCAUGCCGCGUGUGGGAAGAGGGCCUUGGGUUUGAAAAGCUUUUUGGCCCGAAAAAAAACCCCUGGACCUAAUCCCUUGGGGGGAGGAGGGUACCGAAAAAAAAAGCCCCGGCUAACUUGGUC
rnacentral:rRNA from 1 species